UCGUCAGGUAGGAUAAUCCAUGGCUCUUCCUCUAACCAGAUGGCAGAGAGAGCACGAUGACUGGAGUUGCAUGAUUUGUGAUUAACAUCCCUGCGUGAGUAGGGCUUGCAACACCCUAAUAGCUCCUAUUUGAU